rnacentral:rRNA from 1 species
AUUAAAAUUAUUAAUUUUAUUGUUUUUAUUUAAUUAUUUAUAAAAAUUAUUUAAAUUUUAUUUGUUAAAGUAUUAAUUAAAAAUUAAUUUAUAGAUUUAUAGUUUAAUAGUAUUGUGAAAGAAAUAUUAGAUUUAAUUUUUAAAAGAAUAUAUUUAGUACCUUUUGUAUCAGGGUUAAUUUAAAUUUUUAAUUUAUUUUUAUAUUCUCAAAAUAUAUAGAGUUAAUUUUAUUAUUAAUUUAUUGUUUUAUAAAUAUUUAAAAAAUAAUUUUGGUUUUGAUAUUUAAUUCGUUAUAUUAUAUUUAGUUAUUUAAGAUUUAAAUUUAAUUUAAAAUUUUAAAAGUUUAUUUAUAUUUGUAAAUAUAUUUUAUUUUAAAUUUAAAUUAUUUUAAGGAUAAGCUUAAAAUUUUUAUAUAAUAGUGGUAUUUUAAUUAAAUAAUUUUUAGGAAUAGAAAUUUUUAUUAAAAGUUUGUAAAAAUUUAUUAUUUAUUUUAUUUGAUUUAUUAUAAAUUAUUUAUUUUUAAUAUUAAAUUUUAUAGAAUUAUAAUUUAUUUAUAGUAAUAAUGAUUGAAUUAGUAUAAUUUAAAUUUAUAAAUUAUGAAUUAGGCAAAAUUUAUUUUCAUCUGUUUAUCAAAAACAUAGUAUUAAGAUUUAUUUAAUAUAAAAUCUGCUCAAUGAUUUUAUUAAAUAGCUGCAGUAUUUUGACUGUGCAAAGGUAGCAUAAUAAUUAGUCUUUUAAUUGAAGACUUGAAUGAAAGAUUUGAUGAGAAAUAUUCUUUAUUAUUUAUAUAAUUAAAAUUUUAUUUUUAAGUAAAAAAGCUUAAAUAUUUUAAAGGGACGAUAAGACCCUAUAAAACUUUAUAAUUAUUUUAUUUAAAUAUUUGGUUUAUAAAAAUUUUAAUAUUUUUUAAUUAUUUUAUUGGGGUGAUAAAAAAAAUUAAUUAACUUUUUUUAAAUAUUAACAUUAAUUAAUGAUUUAUUGAAUUAAAAAUUUUAAUUAUAAGAAAAAGUUACUUUAGGGAUAACAGCGUAAUUAAUUUUUUAAGUUCAAAUUUAAAAAUUAGUUUGCGACCUCGAUGUUGAAUUAAGAUUAAUUUUAGGUGCAAAAUUUUAAAUAUUAGGUCUGUUCGACCUUUAAAAUCUUACAUGAUUUGAGUUCAGACCGGUGUAAGCCAGGUUGGUUUCUAUCUUUUAAAAAUUAAUUUAUUUUAGUACGAAAGGAUUGAAUAAUUAAAUAAAAUUUUUAUAAAUGAAUUAUUUUAAUUUG